AUGGUUCUAUCAAACCUUUUUCUAAUAUGUUUGUCCAUUUGAAUAUUCUAGUGCCACGUAAAAAUGUCUUAGGUUGUAUGUAAAUCCACUAAAUUAUAAUUAAUCAUUACCUGAACGAACAAAAUUAAGUAUCUUCAUAAAGCUGACAAAUCAUAUAUCAAAUCUAAAUCUAUUAGGCAAGUUUAAUUUUUUCUUUUAAAAAACACAUUUGAGUCAAU
rnacentral:lncRNA from 1 species